UGCAGCGACGUAACCCUAGACCAACCGGGAGUGCAAAAGUUUACGCCACCAUGGUUUCUGGCUGGACAAAAAAGAGAGAGAAAAUAUUUGUGUUGUUUGAUUUGUUUAAAGAGAAUACCAGAGGAGUUAAAAAUGAAUUGUGAGUGACAAGACGACAAUAAGACAAAAUGCUAAGGAAAGAAGAAGCAAGUAAAGAAGUCAACAGUAAAAAUAAGCAAGUAAAGAAGUAAAUAGGAAAAGAACCAAGAACCAAGUAAAGAAGUAAACAAAAAGAAGAACCAAGUAAAGAAGUAAACAAGGGGAAAACAAAUAAAGAAGUAAAGAACAGAAAAAGAAAGAACAACUGAUUUAUCUCGCUCAGGGCUGCGGUGAGUCCGGAGCCAAUCUGGCAACGUUCCCAGGAUCAAAAGAUGGGAUGCCCGUCCCUCAACAAUUUUGAUGACAUCAUUCUGCACUUCAGCUUCUCAUCAGAUUUCCUGUCCAGUCACGUGCUCUCUAGAAUCUGAAGUGUCCCGCCCCCGGAAUGAUAAAAAUCCACAGUACUAACGGUCAAGA